GUCCACGCGGUAAACGAUGCCAGCUCGGUGUCUGGGGCCGUUUUUGGCCCUGGGUGCCUUAGCUCACGCGGUAAGCUGGCCGCCUGGGGACUACGAGCGCAAGCUUAAAACUCAAAGGAAUUGACGGGGGCCCGCACAAGCAGCGGAGCGUGUGGUUUAAUUCGACGCAACGCGAAGAACCUUACCCAGGCUUUACAUGCAGCUGCAAACGGCGGAAACGUCGUUGCCUUCGAGGGUGCUGCACAGGUGCUGCAUGGUUGUCGU
rnacentral:rRNA from 1 species